CGGGUGAGUAACGCGUGGAUAACCUGCCUUACACUGGGGGAUAACACUUAGAAAUAGGUGCUAAUACCGCAUAAGCGCACAGAGCCGCAUGGUGCAGUGUGAAAAGAUUUAUCGGCAUACGAUAGAUCCGCGUCCGAUUAGCCAGUUGGCGGGGUAGAAGCCCACCAAAGCGACGAUCGGUAGCCGGCCUGAGAGGGCGGACGGCCACAUUGGGACUGAGACACGGCCCAAACUCCUACGGAAGGCAGCAG
rnacentral:rRNA from 1 species